rnacentral:lncRNA from 1 species
CGAGAAACGCCCAGCAAAACUGGGAAACCCUCCUGGAAACUGGCGUGUUCUCGCCGAAAAAAACAAGAGCUGCCUCUCAUUCGUCCGAUAAACAGGAGGCAGUCGUACGUGCACACACCUAUACUAUUUACAGCAUUCAUGCUGUUUAUUGCUGUGUGUAUACCACGAACGGAGGUGUACUUACCAGCACAGAGAGUGUGCGUUUGGAACAGAGAGGAUCCAAAGUGUGUGAGGAUGUGCGCACAUGCUCCCGAGGGGUUCUGUCGCGAUGGCGUUUCCACGCACUACGAAGAAGGUGAUGUCGCCUUUUGUGCGCUGGACCUACUGCUUGCCUAUAAAGUAGACAGGGAAAUUCUCUCACAAUGCCAGAUCGCGCAGUGGCAAGCUGAGUCUGUCCAAGUGAAGUGUUUCGGUUCUUCUGUUUCGGUGUGAUGCAUCAGCGCGUACGCAAGGCAGAGUGCGUCUACGAGUGAGAUGCUUCCAGCUUAGAAAUCGCACGGUCGACGUUUUCAAUAACGUCCAUGAUGGCAGCGGAUCUGACGUGUAGCGAAGUUUCUUUUGUGAUCCUGUUAAAAUCCCAGCUCGGCGCCUGCCGCCGUGCACGGAUUGGUCGAUUCUCUGAGAGCCAGCGAUGAGUUCUAGGUGUACGGGAACAGCCUCUGAGUCCAACCGGCGUCUAUAUGCAUCGUGGUUUUCUGCCUGCAGCCCCUUCUCGUUUUACGAACGACACAGUCCCUUGGUAGAGAGCCGUUCACCGGGUCUAUGGCGAGGCUGAGAGGGGGUGAGGCUGCUCCACGGAAACACUCGAACCGCAAGGCGCAAGGAACAAACAGCCUCUUUCGGCCCACGAGUCUAAGCCAAGCACGGCGCCCUCCUCCCCGCCAACUCCCCCCUGCACAAGUAGGAUCUCUUGCAGUAGUUCCCUGGAGACGAGGUCAUCUUUCAGAAAGGGGAUAAUAUUCCCUGUGUCUCCACUAUAUUCAAGCGCCCCCCACUCUUUCGUGUUGAGUGUGGGAAUCUCCAAUUUCAGAGCAUUAUUUCCGCUCCGUGCCUGAGCCUCCCGGGCUAGAUUCGCAUCCAUCAAACCCUGAAAAAGACCGGUUGGCGUUGACGAAGACCGCCGGUCCGCAUGCCCAAAAGCGUCUUCAACCAGCCAGCUCAACUCAACUGCCGGAUUCACGGGCGGCUGUUGAGAAAACUGAGAGGUUUCAGGUCCAUCCGCAGCAUUCUCAACUACAGACGAGUGCAUUCCGGGGGGUAACACGCCCACGUCAGGCGCGAGCCGACGUGUGUCAUCGUCGUUCCGCUGACCUUCCGUGGAUUCGUCAGGCAGGAGAAUGUCGUACCCACGAUCUUCUAGCUGGACUUGAAGAUAGUCCUUCCAUAGGGCUCGCUUGUGUUCUAAGGGAACGUUGUCGAACGCGUACUGAAAAAUGAUGUCCUGCGGUGUGCCCACAUCCGGCUUCUUCUGUGCUUCCUCUGCCCCCUCUUGCUCUACCCGAUCAUAGAAUGCAGUCAGACUUGCCGCUUUUUCUGCAUACCGGACCGCAUCUAAAACAGCAGGGACCGGGGUCUCCGUCGUGGCGUCGUUUCUGUUCCACGGACGGUCCCGGCCUGGCGCCGUCGGCACGAACCGUGUUGUGGGCAGACCAGAUCGUGCAGCGCGUUUGGUCAUUUUCUCUUCGACAAUUUCAUUUAGCUUACGAUCUGCAAAGACGGUGGAAUCUGUCAGCCACUCCAUUCUACCGUGAACGGUGGCUUCAGCUAGACCCCCCACCCCCUGAGUUCGCCGUCCGCCAGAGCCGGGCACGAGGUUCGCGACGAAGGCAAGUGAAUAGGCUGGGUACAAAAAGCGUUGCAAGGCAGCGGUGACUGUUUCUUCAGGGUCAUCGAACACUUCAAAUCCUCCCACAACCCCUCGUCUUCCCUUUGGCCUCUCCUCUUUUUUCGUUUGCACAGAGGCGGAAGAACUUCCGUGAACAGUGCGAGGUGGUUUCCCUAACACAGAUACGCUCUGCGGGCUGGUCGGCUGAACAGGGACUUCAUGGAAGUGGUGGUUCAUCCCGAUUCGUCCGCCAAAGAAUGCAUUGUCUCCAGGGAAAGACCCGAAUACACUUGCUGUCAUGCGGGCCUCUUCCGCACGGCUGGCGGCGGCGUACUUGGCAUGUCGGCCCUCGCGGUGGGUAUCCGCAAGUCCCAUAUUUCUCCCUCCUGCAGAGAGAAGACGCAUGCGACGGUACUCCAGCUCCUCAUAGCGCCUCCACUCUUCACCUAGAGAUGCCUGCUGCUCUUUAACUCGGGUUAAAAGUUUUUUAAGUGCCUCUGCGGUGGCCGCCGCAAUAUCACUGUCGGCCACCCCAAACGCUCCCUGUUGCUCGUUCCACGUUGAUAGUGGUGACUUGGUUGUCUCGAACCCUGGCGACUCCGACGUCCAUAUUCUCUGCGGGGAACCUUCAAUCGUAGGUUUGUCCUCUCCGGGUAUUUGGCCUCUUCUUGAAGGUUUCGGCUCCUCGGCCCGUUGGGGCUGACGGUUACCUAAAUCUUGGUCAGCGGUCGUUUCAGCAGUCAUAGAGAGGCCUUGUCCCCGCCGCGACAGCUCUAAAGAAAUGGAGGGAUUUCCUUUAGAGUCUAGGGCAGCGCGUGAGGCUGUGUGCGUAAUAGAGUUGCUGGAAUCUCUUUCUACAUCCGCAGAAUUGCGUUUGUCUCCCAGUGUUCUUCCUCUGCUUGCUUCCUGCGCCAAAGUCUCAAUCACAUCAUCAUGGUGAUCCUUGGUAGUUGACUCAAUCCCCCUUUGCGUCUCAGCUGUCAGUUCAGGGAGAGAAGUGAGUGUCUCCAUCGAAGUGUCAGGGAACCAACGUGGGUCAUAAGCCACAGUUACUUGAGC